rnacentral:rRNA from 1 species
UUCGACCUGAACUCAGACGUGACUACC